CAGGAACCCAUCUUCCGCAAAGCCUACCUUCUGGAGAAAAGAUUUCAGGAAACAGCAAGAUUAUAGACUCCUGCGCAUUCUCAUCUGAGCUUUAUGGGAUGGGAGGGAUCACUGGAGCAUCCUAGAGAAGGCUUGGGCUGGUGCUCAGCAAAGUGUGCAGGUCUGCAGACCAGAGUCACCAAUGGGCCACUGGUUUACAGUCUCUGAUAAUGAGAGAUGGAACAGAAAAUUCCUCUAGGAAACUGAGAUGAGAUGUUAAUGAGCGCUAAGUUGAUCUCUGAGCUUCACCGCAGGCUGGGAAAAACCAUGACACAGGAGUUAUUUUUCAUGUUGCAGACUUGCUUCUUGUCAGAGGGAUCUUACAAAGAUGACCUUAGUGAUGAAGACAUUGUGAAUUAAAAUCAUUUGUUCUGAAAGGUGGGACCAAGAUGUAAGCUUCAGGAAACGUUGCCUCAUCUACUUUCAAGGUGGGGCUUUCUCAUUAAAGUGCCUAUACGAUGUUUCUCCUUCCCAGAGAUGAAGGAUAAAAAAAGAAUAAAACCAUCAGGCAUUUUUGUUUAACUAUGUCAUUGUUGUUUUAUAGUAGUUUUAUUACCUGCAUGUAUUUAGAUAUGAGAAUUCAGAGAAGGCUGUGAAAUAUAUUCUAAAGCUUCAGGGGUAGGAAAGUGCUCUGAACUGGUUAGUUGGUGUGUCUCCCCAGAGAAUUAUCUUCCAGGCUGCAGAUUCUGACAGAAGGCACUCUCUGCCUUUUAUAGUCCUGCUCACGGAAGGGGAAGUGGAGGGGGAGAAAGCCUCUGGAAAAUAUCUUACAGAGAACCGACAGAGCACUGUAUUGCUUUCAACAAGGUGUUUCCAUCUCCUUUUCUUGCUGUUAAAAUUACCUGCAAGCCAAGUAGGCCACAUAAAAUGAAGGAAAAGGAAAUGAAGUCCGUUAAUCUCCCAAGACAGACAUUUAUUAUACGAAAGCCAAGUGACAACUUUGAACCAUUGGCCUCACCUUCUGUGGAGAAAAAGGCUCAUGCCUCAGAAACUGCAGGAAUCUUGGAUCUGCUCCCUGGUAGGGGAGUUGUAUUGGUCGUCUGAAAGGAGACUGGCCUCAGCCAAAUGUCAUCUCCAUGAAUAUGAGCCCAAAGUUCCAGUUGCUGAAGUAUCUAUUGAUUAAAGAAUCAUGAUAAAUGAGAACAAGGCUGUGAAUAAGAUCAAUGCCACGGACCUCAGAAGCAAGUCUCCUGUGAAACUUCACAGGAACAUCAAACACUCCUUUGGAGAAGCACUGAUCUCUGGUCUGAGCGAAGCCUUGAGGAUUUUUAGGUUCUUCCAGAUGUAACUUUCUAUAGUGGAUCUUCAGUGAGCAUACAGUUAUAUGAGAGGCAGUGCCAUGUAAGGGAAAGAGCACUGAAUGUGGAGUUCAAGCCUAUUAGCAAUUGCAAAUCAGGGAUAUUGAAAACAGCCUCUGUUUCUCAGCAUAGCAUCCUGGUUGCAAGUACAAAUUCUGGAGCUAGAUUACCUGGGUUCUAAUCCCAGCUCUGCUGUUUACAAACUGUGUGACCUGGGGCAAGUUAUUUAACCUUUCUGUGCCCUAGUUUUUUCUCCUAUAAUAUGAUAAUAGCAAUGGUAUCUACUGCAAAUGAUUGUGAUGAUGAUUAAAUAACCUAAUCUUUGUAAAGGAUCUAGAACAGUGCUAUGGUUACUGUUUGCCGAUUAAGUUCCUUCCCUAUUCUUUUGUUUGUUUUUCAAACUAAGUCUGUUCUCGCCACACUGCAGAGACAGACACUGUGUUAGUCAGGGUUCUUCAGAGAAACAAAGCCAAUUGUGUGUGUGUGUGUAUAAAAGAUUUAUCUUGUUUUAUUUAUGUAUUUUUUUUGAGACAGAGUCUUGCUCUGUCUCCCAGGCUGGAGUGCAGUGGCUUGAUCUCGGCUCACUGCAACCUC
rnacentral:lncRNA from 10 species